UACGUAGGGUGCGAGCGUUGUUCGGAGUUACUGGGCGUAAAGCGUGCGUAGGCGGUGCUCCAAGUCUGGUGUGAAAUCUCCCGGCUCAACUGGGAGGGUGCGCUAGAAACUGGAAUGCUAGAGUGUGGGAGAGGUAAGCGGAAUUCCUGGUGUAGCGGUGAAAUGCGUAGAUAUCGGGAGGAACACCAGCGGCGAAGGCGGCUUUCUGGACCAAUACUGACGCUGAGACGCGAAAGCGUGGGGAGCAAACAGG
rnacentral:rRNA from 1 species